AAGACAAAUACGUAGAAGGAAAAUAAUAUAUUUAUUAGUCUGUUAGCAUAUAAGUCUUACCUACUAAAGGUGGUCUCUCUGUCGAUCUUGUGGAGGGUUGGUUUCAGGGAUGGAUCGGAAGUCCAUCUCUGGGUUUGGUUGGGUUCCGACAUUUAUUGCAAGGAUCUGAUUUCCAAAGGAGAUUUGUGGAUUUCAUGGCGUUGGAUUUCACGAAUCGAUCGGAUUUAGAGCUUGAUGGGAUUAGGUUUGGGCGGAUCCGUUUCUGGACAAUACAGAUUCCGUUUGCGAUCUCCUUUAUUUCUCUGGAUUUGAGUUUUUACCGGAUUGAGAUUUCAGUCAUACAAAUCAUGGUGAGGAUCACUCAGUGCUUUAAUUAUGGAAGUUUGAAGGUUAAUUCUUUGAGGUCUAUGGAAAAGAGAAUCUUUGGAGCUUUGAUGAUAAGAUCUGUUUUGGUAUUGUCUGCAAUUCGCAUAUCUUCUAUUUCGUGUAGUGGUGAUAGGGUCGUCGAAGGGGUAUUUAUUCUUUGGUCUGGAUUCUUAUCAGGGACCCGUUACAUAUUUCUUUGUUCUUGGCUUGUCUUUGGUCGAUGCGGUCUGUUCAUUGUUCGGUGCUUCUUUCACAGACGUGUCGUGAAGGGUUUUCCUCUGUUGAGAGUUAUGGCACAACUAGCGCUUAGUAAGAGAAAAGGUUCUAUGGUUCGUACGAACACAGUGAAGAUAUCAAAUUCUGUUUUGGCUCAGAGAAUCCAGCAGUUCUCUAUGACCCUCAUUGGUAGGCUAAUGAAUCCGGCUAGUCAGAGGAUGGAGUCCUUGGUGGCUAAUAUCCCUAAGAUUUGGAAGCUAGAGGAUAAAGUAGUGGAAGCGGAUUUGGAGCAAGGCAUUUUUCAGUUCAAUUUUGAAGAGGAAGGUGAUAUUUAGUCAGUUUUACAGAAUGGUUCGUACCAUUUUGAUGGAUGGAUGGUUUCUUUGGUGUGAUGGGAAAUGAUCAUUUCAUCUUCAUAUCCUUCUGCGAUUAAUUUCUGGGUUAAGGUGGCUGGUAUUCCCAUGCAUUUGUGGGAGGUGGCGACGUUAGAAGCAAUCUGUAAAAAGCUUUGUAAAAUUCAAGAGUUAGAUGAGGAAUCUGGUAGUCUCUGUGUUACGGUCAAUGGUUUUAAUCCUCUGAUCUUUAAGAUGGUGGUACCCUUAGAUACUGGUGAUGAAGUAGUGGUUUCUCUUGAUUAUGAGAGAUUGGUGGGCUUCUGCGAUCAUUGUUCGCGGCUGACUCAUGAGUCCAGAGUAAAGCAUAAUUGUUAGUAAUCAUGGUAUGGAAGAUCAGUCGAAUAAGAGGAAUGAGCAAAGGCAACAAUCUUUGGUUAAGCAAGAAUUGAAUGACAAUGUUGGGGGGUGGGUAAAGCCAAGGAAGCAUGCUAAGAGAGCUUUGGACUUUCAGAAUUUGGAUGUUGGUGAUCGUGGCCAUUUCUCGCAGAAAUGGACUUUCAGAAACGUGCGGGUGAGGCUACUUCUAGUGAGGGUGGUGCUCGUAGAGGUGUUCACUUUGUGAGUGAGGAUCCCUCGGGUCAGGUUUCCACUUUUCAUCUCAACAGGAAGGGUGCUGGGCCAGUUUGGCCUAAGCCUUUGUAUCAGGUCAAACAGAACCUUAUUGUGAUGAAUUCACAGGUGGGCAUUGGUGAUAGUUCGUUGGUUUCAGGGAAUGGUUAUUCUCAAGCGGAUAAGGAAAUGGAGGAUUAUCAAUAUAAGGGGGAUGAUAUGGCUGCUAUGGCUGUGGAUUUUGUGGAAGAAACAGAUGAUCUGCUAUAGGACGGUGAGUUUGAUGAUAAUGUUAAUGGUGGUGCUAAGGUUGUCCAUGGGGAUGAUGCUCUUCCAGAUCAGGGGACUGGUCUCUUGGCUUGUCAGGGGACCGAUCCUCAGGGUGAGGCAGAUGGUAAUCAGCAAGGUAAAGGGAACAGACAGAAGGUGCUGGGGAAACAAGGAAACAAACAGAUGGCUGUUUCAUCGGAUGGUGGUCGUCAAGGCAAGAAAGGGAUGGUGGCGCUCCCGAAACCACCGGCGAAAACGUGAAAAUCCUGAGUUGGAACUGUCAGGGCAUAAGCUGACCUGACAAAAGAUUAUUUGGGAGAUUUGUAAAAUAAGCAUCAUCCAAAUAUCUUAUUUUUUUCGGAAACAAAAAAAUGUUUUACUUAUUUACAACAAUUUCAGAAUAAGUAUGGUUAUAAUAAUUUGUAUAUUGUUGAACCCCGCGCGUGUAGUGGCGGUUUAGCUUUAUUUUUUAUGGAUGAAAUAAAACUUUCAAUUCUAUA